GUGGGGAAUAUUGCACAAUGGGCGAAAGCCUGAUGCAGCGACGCCGCGUGAGCGAUGAAGUAUUUCGGUACGUAAAGCUCUAUCAGCAGGGAAGAUAAUGACGGUACCUGACUAAGAAGCACCGGCUAAAUACGUGCCAGCAGCCGCGGUAAUACGUAUGGUGCAAGCGUUAUCCGGAUUUACUGGGUGUAAAGGGAGCGUAGGCGGCGUGGUAAGUCAGAAGUGAAAGCCCGGAGCUCAACCCCGGGACUGCUUUUGAAACUAUCAUGCUAGAGUGUCGGAGAGGUAAGUGGAAUUCCUAGUGUAGCGGUGAAAUGCGUAGAUAUUAGGAGGAACACCAGUGGCGAAGGCGGCUUACUGGACGAUAACUGACGCUGAGGCUCGAAAGCGUGGGGAGCAAACAGGAUUAGAAACCCGUGUAGUCC
rnacentral:rRNA from 1 species